rnacentral:pre_miRNA from 1 species
UAUUAAAAAUUUUAUUUAUUUGUAGUAUUAAAAACUGACGUGCCUAACAAAAAAAACCAAAUAAUGAGAAAUGAUGUGCCACGUGUGCGUCAUGUUGAUGUACAAAAACAGAUUUUUAACCAUAGAAAUGGAUGAAAUUUUUAAUA